CAAUAGCGUAUAUUAAAGUUGUUGCAGUUAGAACGCUCGUAGUCGGAUUUCGGGGCGGGCCGACCGGUCUGCCGAUGGGUACGCACUGGUCGGCGCGUCCUUCCUUCCGGAGACCGUGCCUACUCUUAACUGAGCGGGGGCGGGAGACGGAACGUUUACUUUGAAAAAAUCAGAGUGUUUCAAGCAGGCAGUGCGCUCUUGCAUGGAUUAGCAUGGGAUAAUGAAAUAGGACUUUGGUGCUAUUUUGUUGGUUUCGAACACCGAAGUAAUGAUUAAAAGGGACAGUCAGGGGCACUCGUAUUCCGCCGAGAGAGGUGAAAUUCUCAGACCAGCGGAAGACGAACCACUGCGAAGGCAUUUGCCAGGGAUGUUUUCACUGA
rnacentral:rRNA from 1 species